rnacentral:rRNA from 1 species
AGCGAACGCUGGCGGCAGGCCUAACACAUGCAAGUCGAACGACCUCUUCGGAGUUAGUGGCGGACGGGUGAGUAACACGUGGGAACGUGCCUUUAGGUUCGGAAUAACUCAGGGAAACUUGUGCUAAUACCGAAUGUGCCCUUCGAGGGAAAGAUUUAUCGCCUUUAGAGCGGCCCGCGUCCGAUUAGCUUGUUGGUGAGGUAAAAGCUCACCAAGGCGACGAUCAGUAGCUGGUCUGAGAGGAUGAUCAGCCACAUUGGGUCUGUGACACGGCCCAAACUCCUACGGGAUGCAGCAGUGGGGAAUCUUGCGCAAUGGGCGAAAGCAUGACGCAGCCAUGCUGGGUGAAUGAUGAAGUUGUGAGGAUUGUAAAAUUCUUUAACCGGGGACGAUAAUGACGGUACCCGGAGAAGAAGCCCCGGCUAACUUCGUG